AUACGUAGGUGGCAAGCGUUGUCCGGAAUUAUUGGGCGUAAAGCGCGCGCAGGUGGUUCCUUAAGUCUGAUGUGAAAGCCCCCGGCUCAACCGGGGAGGGUCAUUGGAAACUGGGGAACUUGAGUGCAGAAGAGGAUAGUGGAAUUCCAAGUGUAGCGGUGAAAUGCGUAGAGAUUUGGAGGAACACCAGUGGCGAAGGCGACUGUCUGGGCUGUAACUGACACUGAGGCGCGAAAGCGUGGGGAGCAAACAGGAUUAGAUACCCUGGUAGUCCACGCCGUAAACGAUGAGUGCUAAGUGUUGGGGGGUUUCCGCCCCUCAGUGCUGCAGCUAACGCAUUAAGCACUCCGCCUGGGGAGUACGGUCGCAAGACUGAAACUCAAAUGAAUUGACGGGG
rnacentral:rRNA from 1 species